CGUACACUCCUACGGGGGCAGCAGUGGGGAAUUUUGGACAAUGGGCGAAAGCCUGAUCCAGCCAUGCCGCGUGCAGGAUGAAGGCCUUCGGGUUGUAAACUGCUUUUGUACGGAACGAAACGGCCUUUUCUAAUAAAGAGGGCUAAUGACGGUACCGUAAGAAUAAGCACCGGCUAACUACGUGCCAGCAGCCGCGGUAAUACGUAGGGUGCAAGCGUUAAUCGGAAUUACUGGGCGUAAAGCGUGCGCAGGCGGUUAUGUAAGACAGUUGUGAAAUCCCCGGGCUCAACCUGGGAACUGCAUCUGUGACUGCAUAGCUAGAGUACGGUAGAGGGGGAUGGAAUUCCGCGUGUAGCAGUGAAAUGCGUAGAUAUGCGGAGGAACACCGAUGGCGAAGGCAAUCCCCUGGACCUGUACUGACGCUCAUGCACGAAAGCGUGGGGAGCAAACAGGAUUAGAAACCCCAGUAGUCCCAU
rnacentral:rRNA from 1 species